AGAAACUAGACUCUCUCAAGCUGGAGAGAGAGAGCAUCAUAUCCACAGAGCGCGGGAGGGAAGGCAACUAGACAAUCGCAUGCGUGGUGUCAUAAAGUAAACCUCGCGUCUUCUCUCAGGUCCGUGCAUGAACACUGUAAGCAUGCUUUUCAAGGGAGGAAUUCCCCAUCUUGGAAAUUAAACUGCCUGUUCCGUUCUCUGGAUGGCUGAGACGCGACAUUCGAUGGCUGAAUACUCAAGGACUGCGAGUUCUGAAUGGAAAACGCAUCGCUGAAGAGAUGCACUGAAGAGUUUGGCUUUUGGCUAGAUGCUUCUGCGCUGCUCAGAGAUUUGAGCGUCAUGCUCUUUAACGCAAGACGCACGGGAACCUCUAUUUGUCCCCGACACACGGCCACUCGUAGCUUACUUUCUGACAGAGAGGAAUAUGCACGUCAAUUGUUAAAAGUCAACUUUAUGAGAUGUUCCACAUUUAAAAAACGUGUUGACAGGAGGUAGUUGCUAUCUUUGGUUAUCUAGCUGUAUGAGUGUUUAUCUGCCUUCAUAAAGCUAGAUAACCGAAAGUAGAAACGUCCUCCUUAACUGCAUAGUGGACAAGUUGGGAAGCAAUGAUCGCAGGGAACUGCAUGAGCAUCUCAAACUGCAGUGUCUUUGUGAGAGACCAGAGGACUGGAGCUAAGGGGAAAAACGCCAUCUGCAACUGCCAGCCAUUUACACUGCCUUUUUGGAGCAAGAGGGAGAGAGGAAAAAAUGGUGCAAUUGUCCAAAUGAAAGAAAAGAAAAAUAAUAGUCAACCCUCAUCCUUCUUCUACCAGCUCCCCUCCCUUCUUCGUCAACGGAAGCAUUUAGUGCCAUCUGUGCCCCCGGAGAAAAGAGGAAAAAAAGAAAGGAGUGAGACUCUACAUCCCAAGUGCCAAUGGGGACAAAGAGGCUGCCAGUUGCCACGGACCACCAGAUGCUGGAAGACUGCAAGUCUGAAUGAGGGGUGUGCUUUCAGGAAGCCAUCUUGAUGGAGAAACUGGCUGCUGCUCCCUAAAAUGGCUGUGUUGGCAUGAGGCUCCUGGCAGUGAAACUGUGAAAAAUUCCCAUCGUUGUCAUCAGCUGCUGGAGAAAUUGAGGUCAUCCUGCUAUGCUUGACUCAAAUGGUCAAUCACCUCAGGAAUCCAGUGUCCAGCAUCUCUUCCAGAUGGUUUGCUGUGAAAAUUAAACAAGCAGAUGAGGGACGAUUUAAAAUGUGCACUAAUUGAUUUAACUGGGUGUCUUAAAACCUUGCAGCCGUCAGUCACUAAUACUGGAUUGAUGUAUGGAUUUGGACUGUUCACCCAGUUUAAUCUUAGAUAUUAAAAAAAAGUGUUGUACAAUCUUAUCAGUGCUGUAUAAACUGAAAAUAAUGUGCCUUAAUGUGUGAAAAGUUUACAAUGAAAGUUAUUGAAACGUGUCUUAAUACUUGCAUUCCCUGUUUUAAAUAUUUUAAUGAACUUGCACAUCAGUCAUCAAUGUUUCAUGUUAUUACAUGUACAUGUUAUCUUGUUUAAUCCAUAUACUUUAUCUGGCUAUUGUAAGUAUGGAGUAUAAUACCAGAAUUAUGUUCAGUUUAUCUCUUGAUUAUCAUUUGUCUGGUUGUGAUGUAUGCAACAAACAUUUUAAACUGCACAAAUAAACAACAUUAAAGCAUUGA